ensembl:lncRNA MCPH1-AS1 MCPH1 antisense RNA 1
UGUUACAGAGAUUUCCCUGGGGUGCCAGAGAGUGGUAUGUGGCUGCAACACUAAUCCCAUGCCUUGGUUUCACUACGGACGAAGUAGGGGGCUACGGGACGCAAAAUAUUGUGAAGCGGAAGUCACUGACAGAUGAAGAGCCUUUCCAUCCUGAAAAAGAGAGUCCUCUCACUCAUUCUGUCUUUUGGGAAUUUAUUUGGAAAGAACAUAGGCUUUGGAACCAGAGAGAUGGAAUUUGAAUCUCCCCUCUGCUACUUAGACGUGGGUGACCUUGGGCAAGUUACUUAACCCUUAAUAGCAGGCAUUUCUUCUUCUCUAAUAGUGGUUCUGCGGAUUGAAUGAGGCAGCAGUCUGUCAACAACUAUGGCAUCCAGCUGGUCAGAAAGACUAGAGGAUUUGACAUUUUGCGGCUGUUCUCUAGAACCAAAGAAAUGAGAACCUCUUGGUAAAAUCCGCUGGUCCAGGAGUUAUUAUCUCCUGGAUUAUCUGCCAAAGAAAUUAUCUGCCAAAAUUACAAUGUAAAACUGAAGAAGACAACCGAUAACUCAGUUAAAAUUUUGGAAAAAUACAAAGAAACUGUGACUGGGGAGAAAUGGAUUCUUUCUUUGAUUUUAUAAGCUGACAUGAUUGCUUGUUCUGUUGUGAAUGCACGCUGCUCUGGGCCUCAGUUAACCCAUCACACCUGAGCUCCACGCUGUCCACGGGUGCUUUUUCUGCAGUGUUAACGUCAUCUUCAUGGUCGGUAUCAUCACGAUCACCUUGAUUCAGAACCAUUCUGGCUAUUUCCCCAACAGUCAAUGAAAUGAACAACCGGAGCCUCAUUAUCAAUGUUAAAAAUGACAUUAAUGUGUACUUCUUCCCGCUGACUGAUGAACUCUGAAGGUAUAUUUUUUGGAGGUCAGACAUCCUUUUCUUCUCACUUGACAAGCUGAAUUCUUCUAAACCACCACCUGGUUCAUCAUCAUCACUGAACACAGUCGUAGGCCAGAGGUCACGCCAGGCACGCACAUCUGUGUCUUUAGUCACUGUGUUGCAAGCGUUGGCAACAGCAUGUAUGGCAUCCUUCAUGCUCAGCUCCUGAAAAUCUUCUACACCUACACCUCCGUUCACUGCUGCGAGCGUGCAAUUCAAGACAGUGUUUUUAUAUUUACUUUUCAUUGAUCUAAAGAUACCCUGGUUACAGGCUCAACUAAUGAAGUCACGUUUGGGGGAAAGUACACAGCAUCAAUAUUAUCUUUGAUGAGAAUUUCAGCUGGAGGAUGAGCAGAACAGUAGUCAAGGCAUAAGAAAAUCUUGCUGUCAUCAUCCGGUCCAACUUUUCUGCAGCGAGCACAAGAGGCCUGUACGAAGUGUUUGUAAAACCGAUCAGAAAAGAUGUCCCUGGUGAUCUAUGCCUUUUUGUUAGCAUAAUAAUGGACUGCUUCUGCAGAUGGCCUCCCCUCUCUGCGACUGGUUCCUUAUCGAGGCAAUGGAGAUGUGGACUGCGGUGACUGAUCAAGCCUCACAUAUCUACUGAAUCAGGAAGCCCGAAGGCCUGAGGCCUCCCGAGUGGCCCCAUGGGAGCGUCGUGCAUUUUUCUGGGCCCGAUGACGAUGCUGGCCUGGCGGGGGACUUGGCUGACCCGGCCUCCGCACAGGUGGACUAGUUCACAGAGCUUGGCCACUGGGGGGCUGCUGGCAGGCGAGACAAACAUCGCUGGCUGGUCGGCAAAGAGGGUUCCGCGGUACGGCCCUGCAGACAAGUGGCACUCGCUUCGGCACAGCUGUGGGGCAGACAGAGAUAGAAUUACAGAGGUGGGACCACUCCAGUCUCCAUAGCGUAGGCGAACUGUUGCAGUUUACUUCCUUUUUUAUGAAAAGAAUAGACUGAAUGUAAGGCUGCCAUGCUCCUGUGAAUUUUGAAUUCUGAGAAUCCAGAGAAGAUGAUGACAUUAAUGACAUAAAACUGACGUUUUCUGAAGUAGCCAUGCGUAAAACUCCAAGGAAACAAAUUAGAAAAAAAAAAGUGUAGGCCUUUGAAUUAUUCCAAAGCCUCAAACAAAAUAUUGAAAAGCAACUGUUAGCACAGCAGAGCCAUAGCUAGGCUGAACUCUCACUAAAGUAACUUGGUGACGUGUGCAAGUGACGGCAAGAUUCUAAUGCACUGCAAAUGCCGGCUGUGCUGGGAGAGCGUCAUUCAAUCCAGCGCGCUCCAGGCUGUUGGCAGAAAAGGACUUUUAUAGGAUGAGACAGUGGCAGCAGGGGCAAAUGAUUCUUCCUGGAUGGUGACUUUAACAAAGACUUCUUCUGGGGGGCACCGAUCUCCACCUGGCCAUGUCUUCAAGCCCAAGGAGAAGUCCCAGGAUGGGUCUGAGCUAAUCACGGUGAUCGCAAUACAAAUGACUGCGCUAAGCAUGGCACAGCUGGCCUCAAUCCUGGCCAAUGCAACGUGAGAAUCAAUUGCUGGUGGGAUUCUGGGGGAGUUUUUCUCAC